CAACUUCGUACGAGUGUUCAAUACCCUUCAUUUCCAACUCUGUGCAUUUUUUGGGUGUACAAUAUGAAAAUAUUGUGUACCCGUUACCAUAAACACUAGUUAAAGUAUGUAAACUAAAUAUAUAAUAAAUAAAAACUUUCAACAACGGAUCUCUUGGCUCUCGCAUCGAUGAAGAACGCAGCGAAAUGUGAUAAGUAAUGUGAAUUGCAGAAUUCAGUGAAUCAUCGAAUCUUUGAACGCACCUUGCACUCUUUGGUAUUCCGAAGAGUAUGUCUGUUUGAGUGUCAUGAACUCUUCAACUGGCCAUAUUUUAUUAUAUAGCCAGCUUGGUUUCUGAGGAUAUGUUUUAUACAAACUCCCUCGUAAUAAAUUAGCCAAUCUUAUUUCCAACUCGAAAUUGACUCUGUGUAAUAGACUAUUCGCAGAGGAGAGAUGGAUGGAUAGGCUUCCAACCUAAUUAGUCAACUUUUGA
rnacentral:misc_RNA from 1 species